UAUAAAGUCAUCUUUAUUAUUAAUAAGUUAUUUUUUGAAUCAAAAUUUCUUUCUCAUUUGAAGUAUGUGAUUGGGACAUGUGUUUCACAUUUGUAUGGCCUGGAUGGGAAGGUACUGCACAUGAUGCUAGGAUAUUUAAUCAAGCACUUAAAAGAUCAGAUCUUAAUUUUCCUCAUCCACCACCAGAGAUUGAAGAAGCAGACCAGCCUUUUGGUAUACCUUCAGAAAUACAAGACAGAUGUUCUACAAGUAUGAAGACAUUGCGUGAUAAAAUUAGGGAUGAAAUCGUUGAAAAUUUUUGUGAUGUAUGAAGGGCCAAUUAUUUUUGUCGUUAAUUUUCCAUAUGUAGUGAUUUAAUUUAUGAAAUAACUUUUAUAUUCAUUUU